UGCUUGUGUUCCUCCCCAACUCUUUUCACAUUUGAAUAUGGCUCAUGGGUAAAAAGUUUGGGAACUUCUGACAUAUAAAAUGCACUCUCAUCUCCGUGGGCUUCUAUUUCAGAUGCAGACAAGAUUAACCAAUCACAAACCUGUAUCACGAGGAAACGGCUGAAAAAGUACUGAUUGGCCACUGAUUUACCAGUGAUACUGUUCUUUUAUGAAUAACGGUGCCUCGGGUCUCAGGAACUAUCUCAGGUUUUACCAUAUGCCGGGCUAAUGUGUCCACUUGUACAUCAUGUUCUGCAAUAAACUGUGACACUGAACAGACCCCUCUAAGUGGGAGAAGCGUGUCACUAUAACCAGUAUACUAGUAGGUGCUUAGGAAAACAUCAUGUCCUGAAAUACCAGAAUAAUGAAGCUUCUUUCUUACUAAUAUAUAUUAUAUUGUAUAUGUACAUUUUAUACACAUUUAUAUACAUGCAGAAUUAUGCCUUAUUUUUAUCUUUCAGCGUCUGCUUGCACUGUAAAGGGCCCCCUAAGAAGACUAAUCUUUUCAAAUGGCCUAGCUUUUAAGUAAUUUAUUGUAUUUUUAUAUACAUGAUCUGUUAUCCAGAAACCCAUUAUCCAGAAAGCUCCAAAGACUGUCUCC